GGCCGAGUGGCAAAAUGGUUACUGCGUUGCUUUCCGACCAGUUCAGGAUUCCAACGCGUUGUGAGGCAGAGACUGUGGGUUCGAGUCCCACCUUGGUCG